CCGCCCUUUGGCAUAUAUAAGGCCCGGCUGGAGAGGCAGAAACACAAACUGCGUCCGGCGGCUUUGGAUCAUCCUACUCAGACACCGUUUUUGCGUACACACCCGGCAUCACCAUGAAGAAGUUGGUACAAGUUAUGCUCCUCGUUCUCGUUGCUUCGCUGUUGGUCACCUCAGCGUCAGCACAUUACGGAGGCUACAGACGCUAUGGUGGCUAUGGAGGCUAUGGAGGCUACAGACGCUAUGGCGGCUUUGGAUACCGACGACGCUACGGAGGUUACGGCGGUUACGGCGGUUACGGCGGUUACGGCGGCUACCGACGAUUCUAUCCACGUUUCGGCGGAGGUUACAGGCGUUUCGGAUAUUAUGGAUAAAGGAACUUUGUCUGGAACUUGUUUCGAAUGGAUUUUGGAUUAUGUAUGUUCCCCCCCCCCAAAAAAAAAGCGCAGUCUGGGCGUCCUAUACUAGCUGUCACAAUAUCUUUUAUUGGUUAUAAUCACUAGUAUAAACGUUAGAAUAGAUCCUAAGAUUCUAUUACGGGUACAUACAUAAUUAUUUUCUCUGAAAUAUUUCUUUAUUUACUUUGCAAAACCUGGCUAUUAGUCGCCUAUAGUCAGUGAAAUGACAGUUGUAUACUGCCAAUCUAUGAAACAAAAUAUGAGCACGCAUUGUACUAUUCAUGCGAAUAUUGAGCUCUCUCAUACAUUUCUGUAUUCUUCCAUGUAUAUAUCAGAUAAAAUAGAUUCAAUUAACCACCACUGGUAGUUUACCAAAUGUGUAUGACAAUAAAUCUAUUCUAUAUUUCAUAAAAUAUA